rnacentral:rRNA from 1 species
AACGAACGCUGGCGGCAGGCUUAACACAUGCAAGUCGAACGCACCGCAAGGUGAGUGGCAGACGGGUGAGUAACACGUGGGGAUCUGCCCAAUGGUACGGAAUAGCUCCGGGAAACUGGAAUUAAUACCGUAUGAGCCCGCAAGGGGAAAGAUUUAUCGCCAUUGGAUGAACCCGCGUCGGAUUAGCUAGUUGGUGUGGUAAAGGCGCACCAAGGCGACGAUCCGUAGCUGGUCUGAGAGGAUGAUCAGCCACACUGGGACUGAGACACGGCCCAGACUCCUACGGGAGGCAGCAGUGGGGAAUAUUGGACAAUGGGCGCAAGCCUGAUCCAGCCAUGCCGCGUGAGUGAUGAAGGCCUUAGGGUUGUAAAGCUCUUUCGCCGACGAAGAUGAUGACGGUAGUCGGAGAAGAAGCCCCGGCUAACUCCGUGCCAGCCGCCGCAGUAACAC